CUGGACAAUCUUGAGGGGAAUAUGAGGCCCGAGAUCCUGUCCUGCUCAGGUAUCUUCAGAAACUCAGAUCUCUUCAAGUAAAUUUUGAUUAUUUUAAGAUCUUCCAUAACCCGCGCUCGAAAAAUGCCCAAGCUAAUUUCUUAUCCCAACUCAUGACCUUCGGAUGCAAUGAGUUGGGUAAAAUCUUUGUUGAGCAUCUGGAUAAUUCAAGUAUCGAUACC
rnacentral:lncRNA from 1 species